GUAUUUUUAUCUUUUAUUUGCAUUUAACAAAAUUGUACCAAAUAAUAAUAUUAUAAUAUUUCAUAAUAUUACAUUUAAUUGUUCGCUUGUGUAAGUUAGGUGUAUUGACUACCUAUAAUAGUGAGUGAAUUUGUUUGUACAUUUUAUUGUACCUAUCGAUUUGUGGAAUAGGUGGAGUAUGCACUAUACAUGAAUUAAUUUUAUUGUUGUCGCAAGGUUUGGGAUUUUUUUUCUACGUGUCUAUAAAUAAUGUUAUGAAUAUUCGGUUUUAUAAUAGUAUUACGCGUCGGGUACUAUUUAUUAUAAUGUCUUCAUAUGCGUAUCCUACAAACAACGUCACAAAAUUAGAAGAAAUCUAAUGUGUUUCGGUUUUAUCGUCAUCGUCAGACAGAUAUAGCGCCCGUGACGUAAUUUCCUUCUACGAUCGGUUGUGGUUGAUGUGGUGGUGACCGUUGAGGAGGGUGCAUAAUAUAAAGUAUAAGCCUGACCUAACCGCACGUCCGUAUGAAACAAAAGUUUGCGAAACGUUCGAAAUAAUAAUAAUCAUAUCGGUUGGUCGGUCUGUUCGUCCGUCCGUCGGUCGCGCGUCAAUCCCUGGAAUCGUCGUCGCCGUCCGUUCGAUUCCAGUCCGCAGUUGUCGGUUGUGGCAACACUGCGAGCGCGACGCGUCCGUGUUGUGCGUUCCCUCGCGCUCGAGCCUGCCGCGCCGUUCGUCGUGUUAUGUUGUUACCUGGUGCAUGUGUGCGUGUGCGCGCCGUGUGUUGCGGGGCGAGACCGGUUUGGCGUCAUUCGCGAACACUGCAGACAAGGAGCAUUUGACCAUGAUUUGUGCCGGGCUGAGGUCGUUUCUUCUCACCCAUUGUCUUCGUAGACCUUCAAGGACUCCGCAGCCGUCUCUUCAACCACCUGUCCGUCAUAAUAUUGAACAUGGAAACAUAGAAAGCAGUUGAAGCUGUACCAAUCGUUGAUGAAAGAAGUAGGAGUUAAGUCAAACCAAAGUAUUGGACAGUAUUGGACAUUGGUUAUAAAAUCUCAAUAUACAUUUUGUUAUGUUGUACAAUUUGUGAAUAAUUAAUUUUUGGUAUCAGAUUAGCAGCUAUCUGCCACUUCUUUAUUGUGAAUUCUGAUUGCUAUACUCAAUUCAGUCAAACCACUCGGCCGACCAAAUCACGUUUUUCGGUGCAUGCUUACCACAAUUCGGACUCCAGUGAAAGCGUUAGCACAGAAGACUGUCGUUCAAUCACAGAACGCAUAAUCAUCGCAUGGGGGGAUUCAGGCAGUGUUUGACGGCCAAUCUGCAUGCGUGUAAGGGGUUCAAUUGUAACUUCAACAAAGUACUUCUUUCCUUUUAAUUAUUGAUUUCAAAUUGAAAAGAGUAUCCAUGUUAUGAUUUGGAUUUUAUGUAAUUGAUCUUUAUGUAACAAUUUAUAUGAUUUAACUUACCAGCGUGUAUAGUAUCUGUCAUACUAACAUAUAAGAUUCAUUUGUAUAAAUACCAAAAUAUAUGUUCAGUAGUUCCAAUUUUGUGUUGUUGAUUCAAAACUGAAUCUGCUGAACAAAAAUUGUGUAGGUAUAUUGUCUAUUUGUGAGACAAGACAACUUGCGAUUGUGGCGUCCCCUUAACGUUUCCAUAUUUGUAAACUGGUGGUUAAUUAGUUUAUUAUAGUCAUGGCCGUAUACGGGAUAUGCAGGUUAUACACUUGCAUAAUAUGCAAUGCAUACCCUGUUGGCCUGGGGCAGAAACUUUUUAGAGGGCAUAAUAUGAACUAAGUCCCUAAAUAAAAUUUUUUGAAAAAAAAAAUAACAAAAUUUGUAGGUACAAUCUGUUCACGGAUUUUAUAUAUUUAUUUGACAAGUUAUUUUACGUUAUUGUAAAAAUAUAAUGAUCUUAUUUUUCAUCUUAAAAUUUUUUUUAUUAUAUAUGUUCUAAAUGAACGGUUAAAAAAGUAGUUAGUCAAGUCAAUAGGAAGUGUCAUUACUGGAUUGCUUCUUCCAACUUCAAAUUUUUCUAAUGUCACUGUAAUUUAGCUUUAGCCCAUAUUCUUAUUGUGCCUCAGGGUAGGUACAGAUUGUAUAAUAUUUCUUAUAUAUAUAUAAAAAAAAAAUUAUU
rnacentral:misc_RNA from 1 species